rnacentral:rRNA from 1 species
GACAUCUCCUUAAUCGGAGAGUUCCCUUCGGGGACAUUGGUGACAGGUGGUGCAUGGUUGUCGUCAGCUCGUGUCGUGAGAUGUUGGGUUAAGUCCCGCAACGGGCGCAACCCUUGUCUUUAGUUGCCAUCAUUAAGUUGGGCACUCUAGAGAGACUGCCAGGGAUAACCUGGAGGAAGGUGGGGAUGACGUCAAAUCAUCAUGCCCCUUAUGCUUAGGGCUACACACGUG